UCUUGUGUGUGUGUGUGUAUGUGUGUUUUGUUUAUCAAGGGAAACCGGGCUUGUGGGGGAGAGGGCGUGUGUGUGUAUGUGUGUUUUGUUUAUCAAGGGAAACCGGGCUUGUGGGGGGAGAGGUCUUGUGUGUGUGUGUGUGUUAGAGAGACAGAUGAGAUUCUUGUAUUUUUAAAUGUGUUAAUUAAGCGUUAAGUAAUGGCAGCGAACAUUUGAGAUUAUACACACAAAUAAGUUGAAUAUAAUUACUCACCAAAUUACUACAAAGACGCGUGGAGAAAUUGCACUUAAACAAACAAAAAAUAAAGAAAUAAGACUCAUUUCUAAGUACGAUAAUAACAAGACUCAUUUCUAAGUACGAAAGUUGUUGACGUGUCUGAAAAAAAUAAAAUAAAUAAAAGUGUCAUUUGAGAGAAGAGUGUUAAGAGAAUAGAUUUAAAUAUAACGAAUUCUUAUACCGUACUAAAAGAAAAAUAAGUGGUUUGAAGGUGAAAAAGUGUUUAAGUGCUCAAUAUAAGUAAAAUAGAUGACAUUUGGAGCGAAUUGAGUGUGUGUGUGUGUGUGUGUGUGUGUGUAAGGGGGUUUAAGUGUUUAAGUACGCUAAAUAUUAAGAAUGAAAGUGUUUAUGAUAGAUUGAAAGCAAGUUAUGAGAGAGAGAGAGAGAGAGAGAGAGAGAGAGAGAGAGAGAGAGAGAGAAAGAGAGAGAGAGAGAGAAAAGCCAUACUUAUACACAUUACAGUCAAAAUACAAGAUGAAGACAAGACAGUUUGUGUAUUAAACAUUGCAUAAUAUUAUUCAGGAUUGUGUGGGAGCGAUAACAGUAGCAGUGUGUGUGUGUGUGUGUGUGUGUGUGUGUGUGUGUGUGUGUGUGUAAUAAUAAUAAUAAUAAUAAUAAUGUGCAUUUUCAUCUAAAUAUUUCACGCAGAGAAAGGAAAAUUACAAGAUUAUAAAGGAUUACUUGUAUUUUCAAUUACUACUGUCGUGUUUGUUACAUUUAAACGUCAGAUUAUUAUUAUUAUUAUUAUUUUUGUUUAUUUGUUUAUUUUUUCAUAAUUCUAAACAUUACACAGGGAUGGAACCAUGAUAUAAUUAAAGAUUACAUAUAUUUUUAAGCUGGAAAUUACAAGUGGCUUAGAGAUGUAAUAUAUGUAAUUAAUUCAGAGCAUAAUAUUAAUAACAGGUAAAUAUAUGUAAUUAAUUCAGAGCAUAAUAUUAAUAACAGGUAAAUAUUUUAGCCUUUAUACAGGUAAUGCAAAAUAUUUAAGAUUCAAGCUGUAAUAAACACAAAAAAUAACAUUUAGUGUAAUGCAUGUAAUUAUUUCAAGGCGUAAUAUCAAUAACUAGUAAAAUUUGAUGUCUUUUUUAUCAAUAACUAGUAAAAUUUGAUGUCUUUUUUAAUUGACGUUUAGUGUAAUGCAAGUGUAAUUAUUUCAAGGCUUAAUAUCAAUAAUUAGUAAAAUUUGAUCUCUUUUUUAAUGGAGGUAAUGCAAAAUUUUCUCCAGGUCAAAGGCAGUAAUAAACGUAGGAUUUUUUGACGUUAUUCGUAAGCGCAGACGUCACAGUGAUCGCCUUUCGUGGCCUAGCGAGGCGAAAACCCAGAGUGAACCUUUGAUGUUUAGCGUAGUGAAGUCAACAAGUGGUAAUGAUUGAAAUGAGUACUAGUUUAUGCAGGUUUUUGCACUUAACAUAAAAAAAAAAAGGAAAUGUUUAGAAUAAUAUGUUUUUGUAUACUUUAGACAACAAACACACACACACACACACAUACAAACACACACACACACAGUAGUAAUGGAUAUUUUGUGUUUAUAAUACCAGUACCUUCACAACUAUUACAUCUGGUGGCCUUGCAAAUAUUGUAGUAGAUUGAUAGUGCACAUUUGUUCAGCUGGAAAGGAAAUGGAGAAUUUUGUGUUCAGAAAUUUGUGGUUUUGUGAAGAUUCCAAAAAUGUGUUGUUUCCGAGAAUUUAUGUUUUUUUGGUCAUGUUGAAUUUUAUUGUUAUUAUUAUUAUUAUUAUUAUUUUUAUUUAUUUUUUUGUUGUUUAUUUUUAUUUUUAUUUAUUUUAUUUUUUUGGGUUUGGUUUCAGUUUGUCAAGUUUUUUUUUAUCUUUUCUGCUCAAAAAAAUUAUGUUAUACUGCUUUUUUAUUUAUUUGUUUAUUUUUCUGCUUUUUGUUCUAAGUUUGUCAAGUUAUUAACCUAUUCCAACUCUUCAAAUUAUAUGUAACUUCUUUUUUUAGUUGUGUUUUCAAUUUGUCAAGUUUUUUUCUAUUCCUACCCAAAAAAAGUACAUGAAACUGUUUUUCUCGUCAAGUUUUCAAUCCAUUUCAACUCGUAAAAUUCCGUUCAAAUGUCAGAUUGCUGUGUUUCGCAAUUGACUAAAGUUUCAAUCUCUAUCUUACUCAUAAAACUAAUUAAAAUCUCUUCACUGUCACUGUUUCAAAUUUGCCAUGUUUUUCCAUCAAUUUCCUCUCCCAAGACUACGUUGAAUUGUAAGACCACUGAGUCCCAAACACGUAAAACUUUCAGUCCACGUCCACACUUAGAAUUACGUUUAAAUUUUACGUCCGCUACAGUUUCAACUUUCGUCACAUUUUCCACCAGCGCCCAGUCUUAAAAUGUUGUAAAGACGUCUUGGCUAUUACGUCUUCUAUGUAGAUUGAAUUUCCCAUCCAUAUCUACACGUAAACUUAAACUAUUCCUCUCCACUCAUCUCAAAAAAUGUUCACGUCACGUGCAGACCACUUCGUAACGACAUAUCACAAAUUCCAAUAGUGUGCGGUCAGUUUAAAUGUAGGUAGCACAACGAAAUGUUAAAAUGUUGACUGGUAAAUGUUUAUAUAUACAUAAUGCACCUUUAGAUAAUACUAGUGGUGGUGUUUUGUAAGUGCAAUGGUGUGUGUGUGUGUAUGCGUGUGUGUGGAGGUGUUUAGAGAAGGUUAUAGCAAAGUCAGGUUGGUUUUGUUGAAAGGAACGUUAAUUUUGGGGCAGCGAAAUAUCUGGUCGUUUGUUGAAAGAUAGAGAAAUAAAAAUAAUUAGUUGUAUUUUUGUUAUAAGGAAAUGAGAGAAGAGAUUAUAGCAAAUUAAGGUUAGUUUUGUUGAAAGGAACGUUAAUUUUGGGGCAGCGAAAUAUCUGGUCGUUUAAUGAAAGAUAAAAGAAAAAUAAGGAUAAGUAAUUGUAUUUUUUUAUUGGGAAUGUAGGUUUAGAUCUGGAAGGAUAAAGAAGAAGUGAUUUAUUUAUUCAUUUACUGUAUUUUUUCAUUGGUUUAUACGUUUCAUUCCUCUUGUUCAUCGCUGAGUUUGAUACGGUGAUGUUUUGUUGAUUUGUGACAUGACGGACCUGGGCGCGUGAAACUGUUGUACGAAAGACUAUAUUUACUGAACAGCCGGGUAGCAAAAACGUUAAACUGUACUUUCGUCAAAACGGCUAAAUAUUUUUGGUUAAGUUACGUAAAAUUAAAGUUGAAAACGAUUAAGUUUGCAUUUGCAGUUAAUAUUAUCAUUUAACCAUCAGUAUUCAAGGAGUUAGGAAAAAUAUUAAAUUAGUGCUUUCUGUAAAUGGUUAAAUUAAUUCGAUGCAAUUAAAAUGUUUAUCUUCUUGUGUUUAGACUUCUUAUUAGUAAAUGAGCAGGUAGGAAUCGACUAAAUCUGUGCUUUCAUUGUCGGUACAAAAGUUGAUUAAUGAGUAGGGAUUGUAAUUAAUUUUUUCUUCUUGAUUUAAUUGUUUUUGUUGUGAUGUGAAAUGUUAGCUUAAUUCAUAGGAGGAAAUUAAAUGUGUUGUAGUUCAUUUAUACAAAGACAAAUGUUUGAUUAUUAGUUAGAAUAGGAAAGAAAAGAAGGAAAAGAAGGAAAAAAAUGGAAUAAGAACAACAGUUGAUAAAUUUAGGGAAAAAAAUGUAAAUGUUUAAAAAUAGAAAUGAAUAAUAGACAAAAUUUACAGCAAUAUCAAGAAAAAAAAAGGAAAAAAAGUGCAAUUUGAACAUGAAAAGUUAUAGAUAAAUGUCAAAUGAAAGAAAAGAAAUUAGGAAAAGGAGAAUAUUGACAAGAAAACCAGUUGGGAAUGAGCAAAUUUUGAGUCAGGCAUGUCAAAAGAUGAAUGAAAGCAGCAUGAACUAAAAGGAGUUAUAUACAUACUUACACUGACAAAUGCAAAAGUUAGGAAGGUGACAGAUGUGAGAAAUUAAAGCUGAAAUAUGAAAUGACUAGUUAGACGUGUGUGAAAGAUGAAUAAAAAGUUGAAUAAAUGAAAGAAACAUGAUUUUAAGUGAAGUUAGGAACGUGAUGAAGUUAGGAAGGUGUGAGAUGCUCAAUUAAACGUGAGAAACAUGAAUAGAAAGUUGAAUAAAUGAAAGAAAACGUGAUUUUAAGUGAAGUUAGGAACGUGACGAAGGUUAGGAAGGUAUUGAGAUGCUGAAUUAAACGUGAAAGAUGAAUAAAAACUUGAAUAAAUGAAAGAAACGUGAUUUUAAGUGAAGUUAGGAACGUGAUGAAGUUAGGGAAGGUAUUGAGAUGCUGAAUUUAAACGUGUGAAAGAUGAAUAAGAGUUGAAUAAAUUGAAAGAAACGUGAUUUAAAGUGAAGUUAGGAACGUGACGAAGUUAUGGAAGGUGGUUUAAUGGAAGGGAUCAGUUGCGAAGGUGGCCGAGUGGGGAGUUAUAGGCCACAGCUUGUUAGAAGUGACUGUCAUGCAAAGGUUAACAGUUAGGAAGGAAAAUAUUUUAGCAAGUGACUUUGUUGAGAGAUAAAAAAAAUAUAUAUAUAUUAAUUAAGAAUAGAUAAUGAUUGUAUAACUUUGUAAUUGAAAGCAGAUGAACAAAAUGAAUAAAUAACGUUAAUUUUAAGACACAUGACUAAUUUGUUGUUUAAUUUGUUACCUUUCUUUGUCUCUCUCUCUCUCUCUCUCUCUUCUCUCUCUCUCUCUCUCUCUCUCUCUCUCUCUCUCUCUCUCUCUCUCUCUCUCUCACUCUCCAAUUUCUGUUUUUCCUCCUUUUUUUCUCUUUUUUCAUAUUUGUAAGUGAAUAAAUGUAGCAGUUUGAAGGAUUGAUAAAAAGAAAACAAAAAAUAAUAAUCUUGUUUUUCUUUCUUUUUUAUUACAAUUACUGUACAUUAUUAAAAAAAUGAAUAUAUUAUUAGGACACGAACACACACACACACACACACACUCAGGAAAGACUGAUAUAGACAAGGGGUGUACAGGAAAGACGAGAGUUGAUAGAAGUGGGGAGUGGGCACCAGCUGACGGGAAGACUUGAUAAUUACAAACAGAAGGGGUGACAGAAGCGAGAAAUGUACACCAAGACAAUAAAAUAUAGACAGAAAAGGUGAUGGAGACCAGAAAUUAACGGAAAAACUUGAUAAAUGUAAACAGAAGAGGUGACAGAAGCGAGACAUGUACACCAGUUAACAGGGAGACGAUAAAUAUUGACUGGAAAGGUGAUGCAGACGAGAAAUGUCCACUAACCUGACGGAAAAACUUGAUAAAUGUAAACAGAAGAGGUGACAGAAGCGAGACAUGUACACCAGUUAACAGGGAGACGAUAAAUAUUGACUGGAAAGGUGAUGCAGACGAGAAAUAUACA